rnacentral:tRNA from 1 species
GAACUUCCUAGGCCCUAGAAAGCUUCUAACUUUCUAAAAAGCGGUGCAACUCCGUUUAUGGUUCU